ensembl:lncRNA
CUCAUGGUCCUCAGUGCUCCCAAAGAGACAGUCCAGGUUAAAAUUACCCUUGGUGUAAAGUCUUUUUUUUUUUUUUUUUGAUGCUGCAUAUGGAAGGCAGCUGUCAAUUAGCAGCUGAAAAAAUAGCCUGCAGUGCUAAUGAGAGCAAAUCUAAUAGAGACCUCUUCCAAAUUGUUUCCAUCCAUUUUUUCAGGGCUUUUAAUUGCUGUCAUAUUAGAAGGAUGCCAGAAGGAAAACACGAGGGAAAAGCCCCAUUCAGAGGACUAUUCUCUGAGCUCUGAUGUCUGCUCAAGAUCAGCCUCAGGUAUUUUCAGAGGUGAUGGAGGAGACUGUGAGAAGAGCUGCCAGUGGCUUAAGCCCUUGGCAAAAAAUACGGUGUGUUGGAGAGUUGCCUGCAAAGGGAGCGGGGCUCAUGUGCUGAGAUUUUGGGGUGCUUGCCUCUCAGUGGGAUGCAUUAGGGCCACUGCAAGGCCCCUGCUGCACCCAUGGUCUGCACAAUGCUCAGCCAGGGGCCAGACAUGGGCUAGGAGAUGACAGCUGCAGCUGGGAGAAGAAACACAGCGAGUCCUCCAGGUUUAUGUCAGUGAAUCAGAACAACAAAGUGACUGCUUCCAAGAAACCUCCCUUCAACCUGCAAUUGGAAAUACUUUCUGUGCCUUUGUUGCUCAACAGCAUACUAGCAUCCUCUAAGGGGAAUGGUUUUGUUUCUGUGAUCAGUGUGUAUCAACAGCUUUGCUGCUGCUGCUGAUUUUGGGGGUUUUGGUCCAAAAGCAAAGAGAGCUCCAAUGUAGAGAUGAAGGUCUGGUCUCACCUGCCCCAUGGGUGUGAACUGGCACAACAAGCUUGUUGGCUCUUUUAUAGACAGCUCUAUUAACGAAGAAGGGGGGAGAAUGAUAAAUGACACCUGGAGUUGGGCAGGGUAAACUACUCACAGGCACUGCAUAUAGCUGAUCUCGAAAAUAAAUUCCAGCUAAAUUCAUUAAAACCUUGAAGGAGGGGGAGAGUGGAGGUGAAACAAGUCAGCCAGCCUUUCAAACGUGCGCUCCCGG